rnacentral:lncRNA from 1 species
CGCUCGCGCACCCCUCCGCCGCGUAGCCAUCCGCCAGCGCGGGCGCCCGCCAUCCGCCGCCUACUUACGCUUCACCUCUGCCGACCCGGCGCGCUCGGCUGCGGGCGGCGGCGCCUCCUUCGGCUCCUCCUCGGAAUAGCUCGCGGCCUGUAGCCCCUGGCAGGAGGGCCCCUCAGCCCCCCGGUGUGGACAGGCAGCGGCGGCUGGCGACGAACGCCGGGAUUUCGGCGGCCCCGGCGCUCCCUUUCCCGGCCUCGUUUUCCGGAUAAGGAAGCGCGGGUCCCGCAUGAGCCCCGGCGGUGGCGGCAGCGAAAGAGAACGAGGCGGUGGCGGGCGGAGGCGGCGGGCGAGGGCGACUACGACCAGUGAGGCGGCCGCCGCAGCCCAGGCGCGGGGGCGACGACAGGUCAGUGAGAACCUCAGUCUGACGACAUUGAAGCUAGCCGAAUGAAGCGAGCAGCUGCAAAGCAUCUAAUAGAACGCUACUACCACCAGUUAACUGAGGGCUGUGGAAAUGAAGCCUGCACGAAUGAGUUUUGUGCUUCCUGUCCAACUUUUCUUCGUAUGGAUAAUAAUGCAGCAGCUAUUAAAGCCCUCGAGCUUUAUAAGAUUAAUGCAAAACUCUGUGAUCCUCAUCCCUCCAAGAAAGGAGCAAGCUCAGCUUACCUUGAGAACUCGAAAGGUGCCCCCAACAACUCCUGCUCUGAGAUAAAAAUGAACAAGAAAGGCGCUAGAAUUGAUUUUAAAGAUGUGACUUACUUAACAGAAGAGAAGGUAUAUGAAAUUCUUGAAUUAUGUAGAGAAAGAGAGGAUUAUUCCCCUUUAAUCCGUGUUAUUGGAAGAGUUUUUUCUAGUGCUGAGGCAUUGGUACAGAGCUUCCGGAAAGUUAAACAACACACCAAGGAAGAACUGAAAUCUCUUCAAGCAAAAGAUGAAGACAAAGAUG